rnacentral:lncRNA from 10 species
AAGAAAGGAUGGAAAUUUCACCUUUUUCACUGAGAAGAGGAGGAAGUUUGGGGACAGAGGCAGAAUCAUCACCUCACUUGCAGUCCACACUAUUUUUUAUUUUCUUUUAAGCCAGCGGCUCAACACACAAUCCAUGGUAAAUAGGAAUAUGGUUGUUCCCACAGGAAGGAAAUCUGCAAGCCACCAGUACUGCCUUACAAAAAAAGGUGCUUCCCCUUCCUCCAACCCCAUAUGCAAAUCCCAACAUACCAGAUGUGAAAGCAAGAAGGAAUGGAAAGAGAAGUCUACUCACAGGUCCCAUUCUGAGGCCUCCAGCCAAGGGGACGCCAUGGUGAAAACACUGCAGAGAGACCAUUAUCAUCAUUUUAUGCUUCGAGGCUCUGGAAUGACAGAAAAGCCAGAAUAUCAAUAGCCAACAUUUAAGAAGCACUCAUUUUUUUUGCCAGGCUCUGUUCUUAACAUUUUGUAUGAAUCUAAUCAUCUAAUCCCCACAAGAACCCUAGCAGGUAUAUAAUGUGUUAUCUCUGCUGAAUGGAGGAGGAAACUGAGACACACAGAGUUUAACUUGCUCAAGGCCACGUAACUAGUGAUUUGUUAGAAGUGAGAUUCAAACCCACAUUGCCUGACCCCAGAGCCCAUUUCUUGGCUAUUAUGCUACAUUGCAUCACAAAGCAAAAUUGAACACUGCCAGUGCAAAGGCUGAAGGAAAAAGAAGUCCCCAGACAGGCAGAAUUGAAAGCUUUCUCCUUAACAUGAGCAGAAAACUGAAAUGAGCAUAAUUUGAC